rnacentral:rRNA from 1 species
AUGGAGAAUGGUGAUGAGACUUGGCUUGAUAACCAGCUCGAUAACAUAGUGCCAAACGAUUUUGUUGAUCUCCCAAAUGAUGACGAGAAUAAGUGUGGGAACAACGACUUAGGGAACACUCUAAGGGAUGAAAUUGCAAUGCAAAUCUGGGAAGCAUACCAUGGGUCCCCAAAGUACAAUAUCAUGAAAGCAAAUGGGAAAAAAGCUUCACACGGUACGAAGAAGCCAUCACCCAAAAUUAAAAAGACUCCUCCAAGAGUUAAAAGCCAAGAGCUCAAUUCGUGGCCAGAAAUAACUAAGUUCCAAAAUAAGCCUUUUCCCCUCUAUGAUAAGCUUGGUGGUCUCUAUGAUGGACACAUAGCAGAAGGUAACUUCAAUUUCACAUCAACUAAGGUUACACAAGUUAGUGAUGGUGAUCCCGAAGUUGAAAGAGAGCAGACUGCCUUCUCUUUUUACCUGAAUCAAUACAAUGAUGAUGUGCACAUGUACAACAAUCAAAGAGAUGUUGCUCAAAGUGAUGUUGCUUCAAAUAAGAAGCAUGUGAAGGAAUUAAAGAAGGGAAAGAAGCGUGAUGAUCCAAUGGUGGAAGUGAUGGCACAGUAUGUGGAGAUCAAAUGGAAGCAAGUGAAGGAGGAGUCUGCUUUGUUGGUAGGGUCCAAAAAUGCCCAAGAGUUAUCCAUUAGCAAGUGCAUUGUUGUUCUGCACAAGAUGGAAAGCUUCCAACACUGUGAAAGAGCCGAUGCCUACAAAGUGUUCAAAAAUGCUGAGAACCAUGAUAUCUUUCUCAAUUCUGCCGCUCAAGAUGAAGAGAGUGUUGUCGUGUUUCUUCGGAACAAAAUGGUAGAGUUGCCUCAACGUAUCUAA